CGGUCGGCGGACUAAAAAAGUUACAACUGGGGCGUUCAACAGGGAAUUCACAAUUCACAACUGUUCGAUUGUGUUCUUCACCGGCUCACCUCCUCGAUUUUGGAUUUCUGCAACUUUAAUGGCAUCUAGAUUGAUUCACAAAGCAACCUAUGAAGCUGAUAACUCGUUUGAUGUGUCACUAAGAGAGUCUUUUCAACUUCUGGAACCCCAACUGAGGCCUCCAUUUUCGUUAACGAUUCCUACGCAAACUGAAUACUUAAAUCUCAACCGAGCUAUUCUAUAUGGUAUCUUAAGUGAAACCCAUUUGGCAAAAGUUCAUAUUAAGCACUUACAUGGCAUCGUAAUUGAUGGGUACAGUUUCUUUACAACUUUACUAACUAGGAUGGUUAAUGAGUUAUACACGAAGCUUGUUGAGAAUGUGAAAGUUCAGUUAAUCUGGGUCACUUCAGAAAUGAUCUAUGUAUCGGCUGUUGGAGUAGAUGGUUUGUUGGUGGCUUUAUUGAGGCAAACUCGUGGUGGAGAUUUUAGUGAAGCGAAUUUGUGGUUGUGUUCGGAGUUGGUUGGUUUGAUCUCGGCGAAAUGGGACUGCUUGCUGGAUGAACAACCGUUGAUCUUAUCAAGCGCCCUGUAUGUCUUUCUCAGGCUCUUGGCUGAUCAUUGUAGAGUGUCUCUGAACUCGAAAAUAGAAAUCUUGAAGCAAAAAGAAAUCGAAUUUUGUAUUCGGGUUUUCAGGGAGCAAUUCCAUUUGUGUUUGAAAAUUGGAAGGGAUUUGAUUAGGCUUCUACAAGACUUAGUUCAUGUGCCUGAAUUUCAAGAUAUCUGGAAAGACCUCUUAUUGCUGCCUGCUAAUUUCAAAACAUCUGGUUUUUCAGAUAUUUCUCAGCUGUACCGAUCAAGAACUUCUAGCCGCUACUUUUUACUUCGUAUCACUCCUGAGAUGGAAGCUCAUUUGCGGUUCUUGCUUACGCAUGUCAAACUAGGAAGUCAAACCCGAUACCAAAUUUGGUUUGCCAGGAAAUUUUUUAAUGUGCCCGACAGCGAAACUGUUAUUAUUGAUAUUGUUCGCUUUAUCUGCUGUGCACACCACCCUUCUAAUAAAAUAAUCUUAUCGAGUGUGAUUCCUAGAUGGGCUGUAAUCGGUUGGUUACUGAAAUGCUGUACCAAGAGUCAUGUGGAAGCUAACGUGAAGCUGGCCCUGUUCUACGACUGGCUCUUCUUUCAUGAAGAAGUUGAUAAUAUAAUGAACAUCGAGCCUGCCAUUUUAUUGAUGAUAAACUCCAUACCCAAAUACGUCGAUAUGACACAAAAUCUUUUGGAGUUUUUAUUCCUUCUGAUGGAUCAUUACGAUGUUGACAAGAAAGAGUUAAUUGUCGGAUGCAUAUCGUCGGUUCUUGAUGUUCUUGAAAGAAGAGGCGUGGUUCAGUCGUUUGAUGCUUUGAUUAGUUGUGAUAUGGUUUCACCUUUCCUUAAGGAGAGAUUCUUGAAGAUGUUGGCAAGCAGGAAUGCGAGUGCUUUCAAUAACUCACAGCCCGCGUUUCUUUCAUGUCAAAGAUUGCAGUCAUUAGAAGUUGAAAGCGUUAUUGUUGUCGAUGACCAACAAGGGAUCUCAGAAUCUGAUAGAACGAUCUCCAACCGUUUCCCGAUAAUUUCUUCAAAAUAGAGAAGUAAAAGUUGCAAAAAACUAUAGUUUCUCUUCGGUGAUUGCGAAUUGGGCGAGUAUUGACCCGGGAAUGUUGCUAAAGAAAGCAGACAAUCCAUCUAAGAAGCUCUUGAUGUGGUGUAGGCUUCAUGGUUCCAACCAUAACUAGUCGAGUUCAGAGAAUCAGAGGUGCGCUCGAUCAAAUGUCUUGACUACUGUUUACUAGUACAGCAUCGGAGGUAUCCCUUCUGGUACAUGUACCGAAUAUCAUUCAUAAUCGAUGAUUACCGACCGUCCAUCCGAUGCAUCCUCUAAGGCGCUAAGGAACCUAUUAGUGUGAAGGGGCCUUCGAACUUUGAAAUUCCUAUCACUCAUCUAGAACUGAUUCUGCAGAAUAGUUAUCGGCAUCAAGAAUGCGUUUGGUACACGGGACUGGACUCGACAUGACAAGAUCCACCGUCUUAUAUUUGGCACGACAUGGAACAGGAACAAGGACUGGAACAGGGUGGGACGAAAAAAGGUUUUUUUUUUUGUUCUACCAAAAUAGGUCGAAGAGAAAUCACAUGAUGAGACAGACAAACUUGAAAGUUAUUAAUCUACCCUCAUUUGAUAUAACCCUAAUAUGAUAUUUGUUUUAAUGGUCAACACCUUGCAUCACGGAAAUCAGCUGACAAAAAACUGGUUUCCUUGAAUGCAGUUCUCGGGUUUUUAAAAAGGGGAAAUCUUUUAUA